CUCUUGCGGCAGGUCUCCGCCUCCAGGAUCGGGCUUCCCCUGCAAAGGGACGAAGCAAAGGUAUAAACACCCGGCUCCGCAGCAUCCCGACCUGGAGGGGCUGUGCCUGCGGGCCGAGCCCACCAGGAUCCCCGCCUGAGGACGGCCCGCCGCUCUCCAUGGUACUGCGGAGAGCUCAGCUCCGCCCUUCUCUUUCAGAAGGACAGCACCCGGCGUCACGUAACCCAGCCUUCUCAGGCUCCACCACCGCCUCCUCCUUCCCAGCUCUUUCCCUCUCUUCCUCCUCCUCCUGCUCCCCUCCGUUGCCUGUUCUCCCCUCCCGCACUCCUGGAGAUAGACGCUCAAGCCUGACGCCUCUGAAAAGGCAGCGGCAGUCGCCUUAUCCACAGACCUCAGGAAAUUCGCUUUGACCGAUGCAUGCUUCAGGCUCUGGGUCGAGCUAAGGGGAAUAACCGGGCAGAUUUUCUGGGUCCUUAUAAAAAGACAAAACCAAAAUGCAUCACCAACACACAACCAAUUGACAUGCUGGCAUCUUAGCUUGGCCUUGCAGAGGCAAAGAGAAAAGAAGAGGAGCUGUUGUGACAUCUAACAGCUUCUGGCUAUUCCACAGCUUCUGGGUUUGAACCCUACCGUUGGGGAGGGGAAAAAAAAAAAAAAAAAAA